AUAAAGUGCGUCGUAGUCCGGAUUGGAGUCUGCAACUCGACUCCAUGAAGUCGGAAUCGCUAGUAAUCGUGGAUCAGAAUGCCACGGUGAAUACGUUCCCGGGCCUUGUACACACCGCCCGUCACACCAUGGGAGUGGGUUGCAAAAGAAGUAGGUAGCUUAACCUUCGGGAGGGCGCUUACCACUUUGUGAUUCAUGACUGGGGUGAAGUCGUAACAAGGUAACCGUAGGGGAACCUGCGGUUGGA
rnacentral:rRNA from 2 species